GCAGCACUGCUACUGUCUAUUAUUGGCAUGCUCAAAAGAGAUAGAAUCCAGAGCCUUAAAACCAGUUCAAAAAAACUACUAUUGACAUAUUGACCUCGUCCUCCCGCCUCUCGAAUAAAUAGCAGAUAAAAGGCACAAUUUGAACAAUUUCCUCAGUAUUUUACCUUUUUAUAAUCAAAUGUAUCUAAUAUUCGUAAUAAAUUAUAAUUAGAAUUUAAACUCUAAGAAAAAAUGCAUGAAGGAGUAAUAAGAGAUAAGGAAAGGCAACAGAGAAGAAAAAUUGAAAAUCUUUACAUACUGGAAAAGCAGAAUGAAUUGACAAAAAAGCUUAAAAAAGACUUGGAAAACUCAUAAAAAUAAUAACUUGAACAUUGCUAAAACUAUUUACUAUGAUUUAUUAAUAUAGUAUUAAAAGAA